GUGCCCUUUUAAGGUUGAUGCAGUGCUUUAAGAGGCUAACACAGAAGGGUAAAGUAAAUCUCCAUAAAACCCAGAGAAGAGAUUUUUGAAACUCCUCUUUGGAUCCUGUCUGGAGUCACAGCU
ensembl:snoRNA